rnacentral:rRNA from 1 species
UACGUAGGGGGCGAGCGUUAUCCGGAGUUACUGGGCGUAAAGCGUCCGCAGGCGGUCCGGUAAGUUUUGAAGUGACAGUGCUCGGCUUAACUGAGUAAGUGCUUUUGAAAACUGCCAGACUUGAGGGUCCGAGAGGAAGAUGGAAUUCCAGGUGGAGCGGUGAAAUGCGUAGAGAUCUGGAGGAACACCAAAGGCGAAGGCAAUCUUCUGGAGGACACCUGACGCUAAGGGACGAAAGCUAGGGGAGCGAAUGGG